rnacentral:lncRNA from 1 species
CUUCAACUGACAUGAUAGACGGCACGGGGCAGCAGAGCGGUAGGUGUGAAAGGUUUGUGGAAUCAUUGGGGGUACGGACUACGCAAAAUGAGUGCGGUGUUAGUGACCUGGUAUUGGCCAUUGGGUAGCCAUACUGUGGUUGAGUUGAAAACCAGCAUUACAAGGAGGUUGCAGAGUUAAUUAAAAUAGUAUGAAUUGCAUGAUUUGGUUGG